UUUUUUCUUUUUUUUCUUUUUAUUUUUGUUUUGUUUUGCUUUCAGGGCCGCACCUGUGGCAUAUGGAAGUUCUGAGGCUAGGGGUCCAAUCAGAGCUACAGCUGCCAAGCCUACACCACAGCCAUAGCAACGCAGGGUCCGAGCUGCAUCUGCAACCUACCCCACAGCUCACAGCAACACCGGAUCCUUAACCCACUGAGCGAGGCCAAGGAUCGAACUGGAACCCUCUGUUGGGUUCGUAACCCAGGGAGCCACAAUGGGAACUCCCUAGGGUAAUUCCUAAGGGAGUUAAAAAGUGUGGUAAAGGGAAUGGAGCAAGCCAAUGUGUACAAAUUUAGAAAAAUCUAGUAGGUGCCUGGAACAUUUCAGAGAGGAUUUGGAUGUGGUAGUAACUCAUCUUCUCAGAAAUUCCGCCAGAUGGACCUGGUGGUGGACAGAUGCUGAUGUGAGGACUCAAGCAGCCAUUUCCCUCUUGAGGGAUCUAGGAACUGCUCUGAAAAAAAAUGGUUGCUUUGGGAAAAAGGAAAAAAAAAGCAUUUUAGGGAAAACGGUGGGGUGUUAGUCAUCACAGAUGACCUGAAGCUCAAAUGUCGCUGAUGGGCUUUCUGCUCUCUAACAUUAUUUCUAGGAAGAUGGUUGAUUUUUUUGUUUCUCGAAGUUUUUUUUUGUUUGCUUUUUGAAAUUCUAGGUCCCCUGAGGAUGCGGCAGUGAAUUAGUGUAGACAAGCUGCUGGCCCAGAAGUGGGAAGUUGUCUCCAGGGCUGCCCGCAGCAAGUGAGCCACGGAUCAGCAGUAGCCCCCAAACCCUGGGCGAGCCCCUGUGUCACUGUGUUUGGAAGUCAAAGGCUUUUUCCUUUAGCCUCCCAGGCCUCCCCUCAGUCUCAAAAGGCCGACUCAAGAGUUAAUGAUCAGGAAACAUUGUUGGAGCUAAAAACUAGUGAAAACGGUUGCCACGAUGUCAUGCCCAGGCUUGACCCCUCACUCACUCUAACCAGCUUUUCGCAAAUGCUUUCCUCCUUGCUUAAUGGCUUUCUCUUACUAAUGAUUACCUUCUAGUUAGAGUUCUAUUGCCUGACUGGGGUUUUCCUUUGAAACGUCCCCUAACACCUGCUUCUUUUUGUAAGCAGUCCGCACUGAGGCUUCUUUAAGUUGGUAUAGGAGCAUAAAGAUAAAAAAAAAACCCAAAACCAAACAAACAAAAAAAACCCUUAACUUUCUGGGUAGAAAAGGAGAGUUUCCCAGAAGUGAUAUGGUUUUAUAAAAGAUUUGCAGGAAAAGAAAUAAUCCUCCUGUAGGCAGAGGGACCAGCAAAUGAAAAGUCCAAGAGAAUGUGACAUUUUUGGAGUUUAGGGAAAGUUCAGAAGAGCCAAAAGUAAAAUUAGGGAGGAUGCAAAUGGCUGAAGAGGGAGAGAAAUUUUCAGGCAGGAUUAGCAUGUGUUAUCCCCCUCAGUGCCUUCUCGGGACAGAGUUCUAACUACCCACCCUCCCAGUGACCAGGCUAACCCUGGCGAUCACUAGAUUACUAUGAUGGGUUACUUGAUUCUCUAUUAUUUAAAUUUUUUUAAAUUAGUAUUAAUAAGUGAGAUUCGUUUGUGGAUUUUUUUAAAUGUAGUUUUGUCAAGUUGUGAUAUUAAUGCUAACUCUAUGUCAUAAAUUGGAAGUUUCCCUUAUCUUUCUAUACUUUGGUAUAUUUUAAGUAUUUUUGAGUCUCUGAUCUUUAAAAGGUUUGGUAAAAUUCCUGUUAGAAACCAUCUGGUGGCCAAAAAACACAUGAAAAGAUGUCCAACAUCACUCAUUACUAGAGAAAUGCAAAUCAAAACCAUGAUGAGGUACCACCUUACACCAGCCAGAAUGGCCAUCAUCCAAAAGUCUACAAACAGUAAGUGCUGGAGAGGGUGUGGAGGAAAAGGAACCCUAUGACACUGUUGAUGGGAUUUUAAAUUGGUGCAACCACUCUGGAAAACAGUGUGGAGAUUCCUCAGAAAGCUAAAAAUAGAACUACCAUUUGACCCAGCAAUCCCACUCCUGGGCAUCUAUCCAGGGAAAACCAUGACUCGCAAAGACACAUGUACUCCGAUGUUCACUGCAGCACUGUUUUCAAUAGCCAAGACAUGGAAACAACCUAAAUGUCCAUCGACUGAGGAGUGGAUCCAGAAGAUGUGGUACAUACACGCAAUGGACUACCACUCAGCCAUUAAAAGGAAUGAAAUACCGACAUUUUUAGCAACACGGGUGGACCUAGAAAUUAUCAUGCUAAGUGAAGUCAGCUGUACAAUGAGACACCAACAUCAAAUGCUUUCUCUGACAUGUGGAAUCUGAAAAAAGGACAGACUGAACUUCUUUGCAGAACAGAUGCUGACUCACAGACUUUGAAAAACUUAUGGUCUCGGAGGAGACAGUUUGGGGGGUGGGGGGGAUGUGCUUGGGCUGUGGGAUGGAAAUCCUGUAUAAGUGGAUUGUGAUGAUCAUUAUACAACUACAGAUGUGAUAAAAAAAAUACAUUUCAGAUAUAAAUAUAUAUAUAUAUCAGGGACGAGGGGAUUGAGGCUGAGUUAGAUUUCCAGAGCCUACGUCCUGAAUUCCCUUUAUGUCAGGUUAAGAAUCUAAAUUUUAUCUUGAAUAUGAAGGGGGAGCACAGGAAACAUAUGAGAGGGUGGGUAGAAUGACCAGAUCUGUGUAUUAUGCAUAUCACUCUAGGGGCAAAGAAGAAGAAAAGCUGGAAGAGGACAAGAGACAGGUACGGAGGGUCACGAGGAUUCUUAAUCCUCCAGGUAACUAGUAAGGACACCUGACCACAGGCGACAGGUCCCUGACUUCCCCGGAUGGUGAUACCUACAGCCGAAGACGGUGAACUCUGUUGGGAAUGAGUUGAGUGGAGGAACCUAUGCAUUAAGGUGGAAAUAUCUAGUAGACAGUUCAGAGAACCAAUUCAAACAAUGAAUCAGAUGAUGUUAUCUAAGGUGUAGAUGGAGAAGAAAAGAAUAUAAAUUCCAGAGAUCAGGAUAAAAUAAGGAAAGGGGGAAGAUAGAGAGCCCACACAGAAGAUGACAGAAGAGUGGAUAGGGAGUUCCUGCUGUGGCUCAGCAGGAACGCAUCUGACGAACAUCCAUGUGGACUCAGAUUCAAUCCUUGGCCUUGUCCAGUGGGGAUCCAACCUACAUCCUCAUGGAUCCUAGUUGGGUUCGGGAUUCGCUGAGCCACAAUGGAAACCCCUGAAGAUCAUUUUCUAAAAUACUAAGCCACUCUAGCAAGGAGAAUAGGCCAAGACAAAGACUCUGACAACUUCACUCUUUGUAAGUUUCGUGACAGAGGUGUCACAUCUGAGACCCACACCCACCGCUUUUCAGGAGACCGAGCCCCAUAGCUGACAACUAUGCUUUUGUCCAUUUCCUGUUUGAAGGUAGAUCUAUUCACGAUCCCAGAUCUGGUAUUGGGUGGAUGGAAACCAGCAUCCCCAAGAUUAGGUGUAUCUGAGUAAGAAGGAGCAUUGAUCUGUGGAUCGGCUUCCAAAUGGUCAGAGCCGUCUUGGAAAAGAGCCAUGGCUGAGUCCAGGCAAGUCGUUGGAGAGGUUUCGUUGCAAUCACAGUUUCUAUUACUUACAUCUUGUGGAGAUUUAGUUAGAAUAUCAUUAAUUUGAGAUAGAGUAGUGAAGAUGACCAGUUCCAGUCCCUCCAUUAUUUCUAGUUCAAGGUCACGGAAUGAGGCCUGAAGUUGUGAGAGACGGGGAGCGGGCUUGGGAAAGGAAAUGGACUUUGAGAUGCUGUGUGAGAAGUAACACGUGUUACACGAGGAGGGAACCAUUCACCAGACAUGGGCUGUCUGAGAACAAAGCCAAGGGAACCGUUUCCUGUUUCCUGGCUGGCAGAGGCUCCCCAGCAGGUCACCGUGAGGCAACUGUCAACCGACGUCCUCCCACUGAUCUUAAAAGACAAACCUGGGCAGGCCUCACGGGCAGUGCGGUGAGACGCAGGGGAAGGGUCAGAACGGACUGUGGCUGGGCCAUUCCCCGGCUCGGCAGAGACUGACCCAGGUAGCUGUCUGCCCAGAUCGUGGCUCAGACCACUCUGGCCCCUCGGGGCUGAGGAGUCCGGGGAAAUCUGCAGGGGCUUCUGGAGUUUGAGGCAAGGUUUAUGAAGGUGGGACUUUUCUCUUAGGUGACUACCAUUUUUUGUGCGGUCUGUAGGUGCCUGUGUCAUGCUGUGUAUUUACUGCUGGCACAGAAGUAUCCAGAUGUCUGUGAAGGGCUGGUGGCCAUGAGCGUUAGGGAGAAAUGAUCCUUCCUUAGUCUGGAGACAGUGGACUCAGACGGGCGCUCUCCUUUCUCUGUGGAAUUAACCCCGUAUGAAUAAUGGAUCAGCUGCAGCUCCAUUCCCAGGUCUUGCUGAUACCAGUACAUAUUAUCAUGGCCCAUGGUUUGAGAACAUUCCAGAGUUAUAUUUUUUCCCGUCCCGAUUACGCAGUGUCUUGGGGUCUGGUGAACACCGGCAUCCAUGAAACCUGUGAGAAAAAGGCAAACUAGCGUCUUGGCAACAGAGUCCAGGAUGAGCCCUAAUGUGGAAGCCGGAAGCAGACCUAUCCCAGAAGAAAAUGGUCCUCCCUGGUUUUAGAGAAUUCUGUGUCUAUGACUUACCUGCACCCAGAAGGUAAAGGGCCACAUAGCAGAGGAGUCUGACGGCCAUGGCACAGGCAAGGCGAGAAGGGCGUCUCCCAGUCCUGGGGAAGUGGGAUGGGCUCUUAAUGAUAUGCCCUAAGGCUGUGAUGACACGGUGCCUGCAAACUUCCUGGGUCCUCAGCCAUCCUGUUGAUACAGCGGUGUCAUUUAUGUCCUUUUAUUCAUCUACUACUUCUGUUCCCUUCUCUCAUCCAAAACAGGCUAGUUAAUUUGCUUAUCUUAAACCUUAACUUAGGUCUCCCCCUCUUUUUUUUAAAACAAACUGUUAAAUUACAGCUGUUUUACAAGCUAUGAGGAUGAGAAUGGCAAAGAUUCGAAAGCUCAUAAUAGGAGGAUUUGACUUCCUCAGAAAGGCUGGGGAAGACGUGGUAUUUGAGGAGCGUUCUGAAGGAUGAACUGGAAAGAAGUCUGCAGAGCUGAGCGAGAACAUUCAGUGAACAGAGUGGUUCAACCAGACAGAUGCAGGAGAGCAGGUUGUGAUGCUAAAUGAGGCAGCCCCUUAGGCAGCCCGUGUAAAGGGCUUAAAGCAGUAAUUAGCAUUCAUGGAAUUCUCAGAAAAUUAUUAUUGGGUAAUAAUCACACACUCUUCUCCAUCUAUUUUCUCACUACUUGGUGUUCAGAUUUCACCCAUUUGAAAACAAAUUUUUAUUGAAACACAGUCGAUUUAGUUUUGUGACCCAUGUAUAUGUACACAUUUCUUUUGUCAUUCUAUCUUCCAUCAUGUUCUAUCCCAAGAGAUUAGCUAUAGUUCCCUGUGUGGUACAGUAGGACCUCAUUGCUUAGCCGUUCUAAAUGUCAUAGUUCACGUCUAUCAACCCCAAACUCCCCAUCCAUCCUUUGGGCCUUUGCUUUGACUGUGAAACCUGGUCUUACAUUAAGAGGAGGUAUCCAGGAAGAGAAAAGAAAUGUGAUUUUACUGCCCUCUGCUGAAAAAAAGGUGGAAUGGUUGAAGAGAUAUUUAGAGAUUUGGGAAGAGUCUUUCUGACAAAUUUCUAAAACUUAGGAAGUAGAAAGACUUCUAAUUGUUCUAAGUCUGAGAAGAUUUUAGGAUGAGUGACGAGUGGAUAAAAGUUCUCAGCCGUGAUGGGGUGGAAACUCUGUGUCAUCGUAGAGGUGAUUCAAGAAAGAGGGAGGAAUUGGGCGUAGCUAUGAGAUGCUCAGGUCCUACUCAGAUGGAGGCAUAACUGAAGGCUGGAAUAAAGCCCCUGCCCUUUGUUUCCCAGUGCAGAGAUAACUCAUGCCUUGCCCACCUUGCUAGUAUAGCUAGGGCAAUCUCUGGAGAAGCUGCUGAGAACUCCCUAAUGUCAGCAACUGAGGAUAUGGGAAUCAUCAGAGAUAUGUAUCACAGACACCUCUAUACCUUGUUGGUCCAGUAAAAACAGCCUCUCUCAUCUUCCAGUCUGGCUUUUUUUUGUCUUUUUAGGGCCACACUCCUGGCAUAUGGAGGUUCCCAGGCUAGGGGUCGAAUCAGGGCUGUGGCUGCUGGCCUACACCACAGCCACAGCAAUGCCAGAUCCAAGUUGCAUCUACGACCUACACCACAGCUCACGGCAACACCAGAUCCUUAAUCCACUGAGCGAGGCCAGGGAUCGAACCCACGUCCUCAUGGGUACUAUUCGAAUUUAUUAACUGCUGAGCCACGAGGGGAAUUCUUAUCUUCCAGUCUUCUUUGUCUUCUUUAUCUUCUUAUAUAAUUAUAUUUAAAAGGACUUGUAUGUCAGAAAACAUGUUACUUGGAAGAAAAUCCUGAAAAUUUACUUGAGACGUGUUUGAGUCAAUUUUCCUUUCCUUCUUUCCUCUGAGAAGGGCAUGCCCCUUCUCAGAGCCACCAGUCCAAUGACAUGGUGGCAGUGAACAUGGGCCUAAGACAUGGCCCCUCACCUCAACAUCAUAUGACUGUAAAGGCCACCCCAGCUUCACAUCUCCCUGUGGACUCAGCUUAGGCCCUUGUUGAGGCUGCAGAAAAGUCCCACUUCUCCUCUGCCCCAUCCGACCUCCUUCUUUUCCCUUCUAUCCAUGGUGAAUAACCUUCCUGCACACUAAUGUUCCUUGCAGAGUGCAUUUUCCAGAAAACCAAACCUAUGACAAUGUGCAACAUAGAAGUAAUAGAUUUAUAAAUGGAUUCCCCCUAAUGGAAAAGGGGACCUUAGAGCCAUCACUGAGAUGGAAAUAUGGUAUAUGAGCCAGAAUGGAUGCAUGUAGAGGUAGACAGGCAAUAAAUUCAGCAAUAAAUCACUUGAUUUUGAAUUAUGGAACAUCCAGCUGUAAGUGUCCAGUAGAAGGUUGAAUUUGCCAGUUAGGAACUUAUGAAAGAAGUUGUUAUGAUCAUGGAUGGGUGGGCUAAGGGAGAAUAUUUAUACUGAGCAAAAAAAAAAAAAAAAA
rnacentral:lncRNA from 1 species